UUGGCCAAAAAGUCCAUUUAGUUUUUUCUGUAAAAUAAGACACAUUUUUCAUUUUCACCAACAACUUUUUGAUUUGGGUAUUUUGAAUGUGUUGGCUGUCUCCCACGUGGCAAAAUGUUGAUUGUUCUCAGUUAAUGUCUCCAUUUGAUCACUAUCAACUUCAACUGGUCUGCCCGACCAUGGAGCAUUGUCCAGUGAGAAAUCUCCAGCAUGAAACUUCACAAACCACUUUUGACAGAUUCGAUUGGUCACAGCACCAUCUGCAUACACUGCACAAAUCUCUUUUUGCAUUCCAGUUGCAUUUUUAGCUUUCUCAAAAUAAUAAAGCAUAAUAUGCCAAAAAUGUUGCGUAUUUUCUUCAAUCUUUAAUAUUAAAAUGACUACACAAAAAUUCACCAAUUCUGAUUAAGUUUUUUUAAACAUAUACUGACAUGACAGCUGACACAAUGCAAUCUAACUAAAUUGUUUCCAAUGAAGUUAAAGAUACCUAAGCACUUCCUACAG